rnacentral:rRNA from 1 species
AAUCUUGCGCAAUGGGCGAAAGCCUGACGCAGCCAUGCCGCGUGAAUGAUGAAGGUCUUAGGAUUGUAAAAUUCUUUCACCGGGGACGAUAGUGACGGUACCCGGAGAAGAAGCCCCGGCUAACUUCGUGCCAGCAGCCGCGGUAAUACGAAGGGGGCUAGCGUUGCUCGGAAUUACUGGGCGUAAAGGGCGCGUAGGCGGAUCGUUAAGUCAGGGGUGAAAUCCCGGGGCUCAACCUCGGGAUUGACCUUGAUACUGGCGAUCUUGAGUAAGAGAGGGGUAUGUGGAACUCCGAGUGUAGGGGUGAAAUUCGUAGAUAUUCGGAAGAACACCAGUGGCGAAGGCGACAUGCUGGCUCAUUACUGACGCUGGGGCGCGAAAGCGUGGGGAGCAAACA